UUCGGUCCUGAACAUCGCCCCAUUAUGGAUUUUGCACUUGAUAAUGUGCAGAAGCUGAAGCUUCGGGCAGAAAAGCUUCAAGCACAGCAACUGCAGGGUCCAUACGAUGCUAGAGGGAAUUUUCAGCAAAAUGAUCAUUUAGGCAGAGGGGGUUCUAUUGCAAACUCGAACUCAAGAAUACACAAGUAUAGAGAUGGAGAUGCCUCAUUGAAGAGGACUUACGAUAACAAAAGAGGGGAAUUGGAGAACAAACGCAG
rnacentral:lncRNA from 1 species